AGAGUUUGAUCAUGGCUCAGAAUGAACGCUGGCGGCGUGCCUAACACAUGCCCGUCGUACGAGAAAUCCCGAGCUUGCUUGGGAGAGUAAAGUGGCGCACGGGUGAGUAACGCGUGGGUAACCCACCUUCGAAUCUGGGAUAACUCCGCGAAAGCGGUGCUAAUACCGGAUAAGACCACAGCCGUUUCGGCGGCAGAGGUAAAAGCUGACCUCUCCAUGGAAGUUAGCGUUCGAGGACGGGCCCGCGUCCUAUCAGCUUGUUGGUGGGGUAAAGGCCUACCAAGGCAGCGACGGGUAGCUGGUCUGAGAGGAUGAUCAGCCACACUGGAACUGGAACACGGUCCAGACUCCUACGGGAGGCAGCAGUGAGGAAUUUUGCGCAAUGGGGGAAACCCUGACGCAGCAACGCCGCGUGGGUGAAGAAGGCUUUCGGGUCGUAAAGCCCUGUCAGGUGGGAAGAAACCCUUCAGCACUAAUAAUGCUGAAGCCUGACGGUACCACCAGAGGAAGCACCGGCCAACUCCGUGCCAGCAGCCGCGGUAAUACGGAGGGUGCAAGCGUUGUUCGGAAUUAUUGGGCGUAAAGAGCGUGUAGGCGGUUCGGUAAGUCAGAUGUGAAAGCCCUGGGCUCAACCCAGGAAGUGCAUUUGAAACUACCAGACUUGAGUACGGGAGAGGAGGGGGGAAUUCCCGGUGUAGAGGUGAAAUUCGUAGAUAUCGGGAGGAAUACCAGUGGCGAAGGCGCCCCUCUGGACCGAUACUGACGCUGAGACGCGAAAGCGUGGGGAGCAAACAGGAUUAGAUACCCUGGUAGUCCACGCCGUAAACGAUGAGCACUAGGUGUAGCGGGUAUUGACCCCUGCUGUGCCGUAGCUAACGCAUUAAGUGCUCCGCCUGGGGACUACGGUCGCA
rnacentral:rRNA from 1 species